AAGUCGUAACAAGGUUUCCGUAGGUGAACCUGCGGAAGGAUCAUUAAACAUGAUGUUUUGAGGGGUUUCCUCAAAAGUCAAAACUUAGGUGUGCCUGGCAUUUAACUAUGUCAGACUUUCUCCCGUUGUGGGAGAGAGUGAGUCUCAUUGAGGAACUCGCCCCGCAUCCUCAAUACUUUUUCAACUCCUAUGUAUUAAUUGUCUGAUCAUACUGUACAAGUGUAAACGAAAUACAACUUUUGACAACGGAUCUCUUGGCUCUC
rnacentral:misc_RNA from 1 species